AUACGGAGGGUGCAAGCGUUACUCGGAAUCACUGGGCGUAAAGCGCGCGCAGGCGGCCAUUUAAGUUGGAUGUGAAAGCCUACGGCUCAACCGUAGAACUGCAUCCAAAACUAUUUGGCUAGAGUGUGGGAGAGGAAGAUGGAAUUAGUUGUGUAGGGGUAAAAUCCGUAGAGAUAACUAGGAAUACCAAAAGCGAAGGCAAUCUUCUGGAACAUUACUGACGCUGAGGCGCGAAAGCGUGGGGAGCAAACAGGAUUAGAAACCCCUGUAGUCC
rnacentral:rRNA from 1 species